UGGCAGACGGGUGAGUAACACGUAGGUAACCUGCCCUCGAGACGGGGAUAACGGCUGGAGACGGUCGCUAAGACCCGAUAUAGUCUGACCUUCGGNGAGAAGGUGNAGAGGAAAGGCUUCGGUGCUCGGGGAGGGGCCUGCGGCCCAUCAGCUAGUUGGAGAGGUAACGGCUCCCCAAGGCAAUGACGGGUAGGGGGUGUGAGAGCAUGGCCCCCCACACUGGGACUGAGACACGGCCCAGACUCCUACGGGAGGCAGCAGCAGGGAAUAUUGCGCAAUGGACGGAAGUCUGACGCAGCGACGCCGCGUGGAUGACGAAGGCCUUCGGGUUGUAAAAUCCUUUUCCGGGCGAUGAGGAAGGACACUAGCCUGGGAAUAAGCGUCGGCUAACUACGUGCCAGCAGCCGCGGUAAGACGUAGGACGCGAGCGUUAUCCGGAUUUACUGGGCGUAAAGCGCCUGCAGGCGGUCAGGUAAGUCGGUUGUGAAAGCCCCGUGCUCAACGCGGGGAGGCCAAGCGAUACUGCGUGACUUGAGGGCGGAAGAGGGGAGUGGAAUUCCCGGUGUAGCGGUAAAAUGCGCAGAUAUCGGGAGGGAACACCAGUGGCGAAGGCGUGUCCCUGGACCGCACCUGACGCUCAGAGGCGAAAGCUAGGGAGCGAACAGGAUUAGAGACCCUGGUAGUCCUAGCCCUAAACGCUGGAUGCUAGGUGUAGGGCUGAUGAGGCUCUGUGCCGGAGCGAACGCGAUAAGCAUCCCGCCUGGG
rnacentral:rRNA from 1 species